UACGAAGGGGGCUAGCGUUGUUCGGAAUUACUGGGCGUAAAGCGUACGCAGGCGGCUUUGCAAGACAGGUGUGAAAUCCCCGGGCCUAACCUGGGAACUGCAUUUGUGACUGCAUGGCUAGAGUCUGUCAGAGGGGGGUGGAAUUCCACGUGUAGCAGUGAAAUGCGUAGAGAUGUGGAAGAACACCGAUGGCGAAGGCAGCCCCCUGGGAUGAGACUGACGCUCAUGUACGAAAGCGUGGGGAGCAAACAGG
rnacentral:rRNA from 1 species